rnacentral:rRNA from 1 species
UACGGGGGGAGCAAGCGUUGUUCGGAUUUACUGGGCGUAAAAGGGCGCGUAGGCGGUCAGCACAAGUCAGUUGUGAAAUCUCCGGGCUUAACCCCGGAAAGGUCAACUGAUACUGUGCGACUAGAGGUGGCGGAAGGGGCAACUGGAAUUCUCGGUGUAGCGGAUGAAUGCGUAGAUAUCGAGAGGAACACCUGCGGCGAAGGCGGGUUGCUGGGCCGACACUGACGCUGGAUGCGCGAAAGCCAGGGGAGCGAACGGG